rnacentral:lncRNA from 11 species
CUUCACAGGUGGAGAGUAAAUCACAAGCCUGGAGUGCUUCAGCUUGCUGCUAAAGCACCAUACAAUUGGAGAGGUCUAUGUCCAAUGCCUUCUGCUGCAUUUUAUAUAGGUGGCACUCCAUUUGAGACCAGGACCCACAGUUUGAGAAGCUGUCUACAUCAUUGUUAUUUGGGUUCCAUGGAGGAGUUUUCAUGUUCAAAACUACAGCAGCAGAGGGAGGAGAGACCUGACCAGGCACACCAACCAAACCUUGUUUAG